rnacentral:rRNA from 1 species
UGUGAUCGGACAUCAGUAGUGGAUAAGGUAGUUGUUUAAACUUAGUUGAAACGCCUUUUUUGUGUUUAUCACAUUGCUGGGGACGAUAAUGUCUUCCACCCUAUUUAUUUUGUUUUGUUUUGAGGGUGACUUUUAUUAUCUUAUUUGUUACAAUUAGGAUCAGAUUUGAAAAUCAGUUAUGUAGAUUAGUCAAUAGAUGGUCGUAGAAGUAGUGGAUUAAUAUUGCCUAAGAAUUAUGAUAAUUAAAUGAUUUAAUUUGAUUUUAAUUAAUCUAAUUUAAUUAUAUUAAUUUGAUUAAUAAUUGAAUUCUAUAUUUUAUUAUUUUUUUAGGCCAUUACUAAACAGAUGAGCUUUUUAUACUAAAAUUUUGUAAUGAAUUAAAAUAAGAGAACAACGGCUAGGUGGCAGUUUAUGCGGGGCACAGAUCCCAUAAAGAGUAGCUGGGUAUAUCCUAAUUUAUUUAGAAAAAUUACCAAAAAAAUUUUUUAGUUUUUUUGCGUUUAAUUUUUAUUUAAUAUAUAAAAUUUUUAUAUAAAUUUAAGAUAUGAUUUCUUAAGACGAAUCUAUAUAUAAGCGGAUAAGAUAAAUAAUACUUAUUCCUAUAUAUAUUUAAUCAGUAUCUUUUUAUUUAAAGUAUAAUAUAAAUUUUUAAAGCAAGUAAGAUUUUAACUAUAUUGAUAAUAGCUGUAAUAAAUAGAUUAACAUUCUCUGUUUCUAAAUUUUUAAUUUGAAUCAUGUACUGGAGAUGUAAUAUACUUUAAAGUUGCUUAAAUCCAGGACUAAAAAAAAAUUUUUUUAAGUCUUGUGAAUAGUGAUUUUGAUAAUUACUUUACAAGUUUAAUGGCAUAAUCUUGCUUAACUGUCUGACCUACACGUCUAUCAGUCGCGUAAGCGGGGCAUACG